rnacentral:lncRNA from 1 species
AGAUGGAGUUCACUCUGUCACCUGGGGUGGAGUGCAGUGGCAUGAUCUCGGCUCACUGCAACCUCUGCCUCCCGGGUUUAAGCAAUCCUCUGUCUCAGCCUCCUGGGUAGCUGGGAUUACAGGCAUGCACCACCAUGCCUGGCUAAUUUUGUAUUUUUACAAAAUUAAAACCCCAGUAGAGACGGGGUUUCACCAUGUUGGUCAGGCUGGUCUCGAACUCCUGACUUCAGGUGAUCCACCCACCUCGGCCUCCCAAAGUGCUGGGAUUAUCCACCACGCCCGGCCUUGAUUUUUAUUUGAAAGCAAUAAUAGGUGCCAGAUGCCAUGAUAAGCCCUUUGCAUGCACUAUGUCAUUUAAUCCUCACGAUAACUAUACGAGUAUUUUUUAUUAGCACCCUCAUUGAACAGGUAAUGGCACUGCAGCACAGAAGGUAAAGUCAGUCUCUUGAGGCAGACCAAUGCACCAUACUGUACUGAGGACAGGUCUUCUUACUGCCUUUAGGAAGUACAGUCAUGCAUCACUUAAUGAUGAGGAUACUUUCUGAGAAAUGUUAGGCAAUUUUGUUGUGCACACAUAGAGUGUACUUACACAACCUAGAUGGCAUAGCCUCCUGUACACCUAGGCUAUGUGGUAAAGCCUGUUGCUCCUAGGCCACAAACAGGUAAGGCAUGUUACUGUACUGAAUACUGUAGGCAGUUAUAACACAACAGUAAGUAUUUGUGUAUCUAAACAUAGAAAAGGUAUGGUGAAAACAUGAUAUGAAAGAUUAAAAAAUGGUAUGCCUUUAUAAGGUACUUGCCAUAAACGGGACUUGCAGGACUGAGAGGUGCUCUGGGCGAGUCAGUGAGUGGGUGGUGAGUGAAUGUGAAGGCCUAGAACCUGUAGACGUUAUAAACACUGUAUGCUUACAAAU